rnacentral:rRNA from 1 species
GAUGAACGCUGGCGGCGUGCUUAACACAUGCAAGUCGAACGGAAAGGCUCCUGCUUGCAGGGGUACUCGAGUGGCGAACGGGUGAGUAACACGUGGGUGAUCUGCCCUGCACUUCGGGAUAAGCCUGGGAAACUGGGUCUAAUACCGGAUAGGACGAUGGUUUGGAUGCCAUUGUGGAAAGUUUUUCGGUGUGGGAUGAGCUCGCGGCCUAUCAGCUUGUUGGUGGGGUAUGGCCUACCAAGGCGUCGACGGGUAGCCGGCCUGAGAGGGUGUACGGCCACAUUGGGACUGAGAUACGGCCCAGACUCCUACGGGAGGCAGCAGUGGGGAAUAUUGCACAAUGGGCGCAAGCCUGAUGCAGCGACGCCGCGUGGGGGAUGACGGCCUUCGGGUUGUAAACUCCUUUCGCUAGGGACGAAGCGCAAGUGACGGUACCUGGAGAAGAAGCACCGGCUAACUACGUG